rnacentral:rRNA from 1 species
GAUGAACGCUGGCGGCGUGCCUAAUACAUGCAAGUAGAACGCUGAAGGAAGGAGCUUGCUCUUUCCGGAUGAGUUGUGAACGGGUGAGUAACGCGUAGGUAACCUGCCUGGUAGCGGGGGAUAACUAUUGGAAACGAUAGCUAAUACCGCAUAACAGUAGAUGUUGCAUGAUAUCUACUUAAAAGGUGCAAUUGCACCACUACCAGAUGGACCUGCGUUGUAUUAGCUAGUUGGUGAGGUAACGGCUCACCAAGGCGACGAUACAUAGCCGACCUGAGAGGGUGAUCGGCCACACUGGGACUGAGACACGGCCCAGACUCCUACGGGAGGCAGCAGUAGGGAAUCUUCGGCAAUGGACGGAAGUCUGACCGAGCAACGCCGCGUGAGUGAAGAAGGUUUUCGGAUCGUAAAGCUCUGUUGUAAGAGAAGAACGAGUGUGAGAGUGGAAAGUUCACACUGUGACGGUAUCUUACCAGAAAGGGACGGCUAACUACGUG